GACGAACGCUGGCGGCGUGCUUAACACAUGCAAGUCGAACGGAAAGGCCCUGCUGUUGUGGGGUGCUCGAGUGGCGAACGGGUGAGUAACACGUGAGUAACCUGCCCUUGACUUUGGGAUAACUUCAGGAAACUGGGGCUAAUAACGGAUAGGAGCUCCUGCUGCAUGGUGGGGGUUGGAAAGUUUCGGCGGUUGGGGAUGGACUCGCGGCUUAUCAGCUUGUUGGUGGGGUAGUGGCUUACCAAGGCUUUGACGGGUAGCCGGCCUGAGAGGGUGACCGGCCACAUGGGGACUGAGGUACGGCCCAGACUCGUACGGGAGGCAGAGGUGGGGAAUAUUGCACAAGGGGCGGAAGCCUGAUGCAGAAACGCCGCGUGCGGGAUGACGGCCUUCGGGUUGUAAACCGCUUUCGCAUGUGACGAAGCGUGAGUGACGGUAAUGGGUAAGGAAACACCGGCUAACUACGU
rnacentral:rRNA from 1 species